AUUGAACGCUGGCGGCAUGCUUUACACAUGCAAGUCGAACGGUAACAGGUUAAGCUGACGAGUGGCGAACGGGUGAGUAAUGCAUCGGAACGUGCCCGGUCGUGGGGGAUAACGCAGCGAAAGCUGCGCUAAUACCGCAUACGAUCUAAGGAUGAAAGCGGGGGACCGUAAGGCCUCGCCCGAUCGGAGCGGCCGAUGUCAGAUUAGGUAGUUGGUGGGGUAAAGGCUCACCAAGCCAACGAUCUGUAGCUGGUCUGAGAGGACGACCAGCCACACUGGGACUGAGACACGGCCCAGACUACCACGGGAGGCAGCAGUGGGGAAUUUUGGACAAUGGGCGAAAGCCUGAUCCAGCAAUGCCGCGUGCAGGAAGAAGGCCUUCGGGUUGUAAACUGCUUUUGUACGGAGCGAAAAGGUCUCCUCUAAUACAGGGGGCUCAUGACGGUACCGUAAGAAUAAGCACCGGCUAACUACGUGCCAGCCGCCGCAGUAA
rnacentral:rRNA from 1 species